GAUGAACGCUGGCGGCGUGCCUAAUACAUGCAAGUCGAGCGAACAGACGAGGAGCUUGCUCCUCUGACGUUAGCGGCGGACGGGUGAGUAACACGUGGAUAACCUACCUAUAAGACUGGGAUAACUUCGGGAAACCGGAGCUAAUACCGGAUAAUAUAUUGAACCGCAUGGUUCAAUAGUGAAAGACGGUUUUGCUGUCACUUAUAGAUGUAUCCGCGCCGCAUUAGCUAGUUGGUAAGGUAACGGCUUACCAAGGCGACGAUGCGUAGCCGACCUUAGAGGGUGAUCGGCCACACUGGAACUGGGACACGGUCCAGACUCCUACGGCAGGCAGCAGUAGGGAAUCUUCCGCAAUGGGCGAAAGCCUGACGGAGCAACGCCGCGUGAGUGAUGAAGGUCUUCGGAUCGUAAAACUCUGUUAUUAGGGAAGAACAAAUGUGUAAGUAACUAUGCACGUCUUGACGGUACCUAAUCAGAAAGCCACGGCUAACUACGUG
rnacentral:rRNA from 1 species